rnacentral:lncRNA from 1 species
NNNNNNNNNNNNNNNNNNNNNNNNNNNNNNNNNNNNNCACACAUAGACACAGAUAUACACAGAUACAUGGACAGAUACACAUUCACAUACACACAUAGAUACACAGAAACACAGACACACAGACACAUAGAGACACACACACAGCCACACAGGCCCUGAGCCUCCCUGGGCCCUCCCUUGUGCAGAGGCGGAGGGGUUGGCUGUCGGGGAGGGCACCUGGAGAGGACACACAGCCCCAUCAGAGACCAGGGAGUGGCUCUGGGAGCUCUUUUCAUCCAAAGGGGCUGGAGCUCCAGUUAGCCAAGGUGAGCGCCAGGUGGUGACAGGAAUGACAUAGGAAAAUAAGACGGCCUGGGCAGGGAGGGCUGCCUGCUCUGGGUGUGAGGGGAUUGCUGUCUUAGAUCACGUGGUCCGGGAAGGCCUCCAGGCAUGGCUUUGCACAGAAGCUGGUACCUGAGGGCUCAGCCCCUUGGAGGCCUGGGCCAGGUGGAUGUGUCUAAGGAGGGCUGAGGGCUGGGCAGGGAGAGCAGCUGUGUGGUGAGGACGAAGGGAGGUCCGGCCAGAGCCCCCGGGGAGGGGCUGUUGUCAUGUGGAUGAGCUGGGAAUUAGGAAAGCUUGUGGAUUGCAAAAAAUAAUGCUUAUGCCAAAGAGGCAUAUUUUGGGGUGGCAUAUUCUGGUCUGCUCUACGUGGAAGCGGACAGAAAAAUGGGGCAGAGGCCGGGGAGGGGAGCGGGACCGACUUCCAGUUCCCAGACCCGAGCAAGGGAACCUGAGGCUGAGCUCUGGACCGUGGGGUCUGGAGGGGUUCUCUGAGGACACUCUGGGAGUGGGGGGAACAGCUCCCUCCUCAGGUUUCCCCCAAGGGAUCCUGCCUGGGGAGACCUGGACUGGACAAGGCUUGGCAGCUGCCCUGCCAGGAGGAGGGAGACAGGGCUGCAGUGGGGGGGUGCAGGGUCGCUGGG